GGCCAAAUUUGACUUUACAUUUGCUCUUCAACCUGAGGUGACUGAAAACAUGAUGGCCAUCAAACUUGUGAUCUCCAUUGUCCUUCUGGGUUCAGUCAAAGUGUGAUCAUUUGAUCCAGGAAGUCUGAUGAAUGGCCUGAUGGUUGAGGAUGACCUUGUGGCCAAACUAUCUACCACUCUUGAGCUCAUUUGAGAUAAACUGCCUGCCCAAGCCACCAAAAUCUGCCAUGAUGAGGUAGAAAAGACCCUUCCUCUGGCCAUCAGCUUUCUUAUCAACAUGAUGCAAAGAAACUGACUGUAUAUAUGCCAAACCCAUCUGCCUUCAUUGACACCUGAUUUCACUACAGAAGCCUGAGGAAAUCUGCGCUUAUCUUGGACUAUGUGGAGGUCGUGACAAUGGCAUGAUGAGAGAUCUGUUGCUUAUUCACAUCCACAAAACUGUAUCAAUGCCAACUAUGAAGCUCGAGGCAUCUGUUCAGUGUUCAGUCUGCAGAUUCAUUGUGAGAAAAAUAGAUUAUCUCUUUCAUAAAGAGAAGGCUCAGAGUGUCCUAACUGCCCUGCUUGAGUUUGUGUACUGAGUUCAGAACUCUGGUUCAGCCACAGUGCAAUAGGAUAGUUGAAAAAUACAUCCAAUUGUUGAUUGACAUAUUACUGAACAGCAGCUCACCAAACUUCAUAUGCAAUUUUUUGCAUUUUUGUGAAAUACUUGAAAUGCAAGUCAUUGGUUAGAGCUCAGGCAUAAGCUGAUUUUGUACUUAAAGGUUCAAAUUUUUCUUCAUUAAAAGGUUUUACCCCUAAAGAAGACUCCAGUCAUAUCAGUAGCUAAAAGUAAUGUAAUGUGAUUGUUUUUAGAUGAAAUCAAAACCAAUUUGAAAAUAAUGAUUUAAAAAAAAGCCUCUAUAUGGCCAAGUGUGAUCAUUAAACAGCAGAAGGAUGUCAUUUAAUGAAAUAAUAUACAGUCGCAUGAGCUGCGUGCAACAGUAUAAAUAAGUGGCGCCUGUCUGCCGUCAUCUCCUUCACACAAAGGCAUGCACACAACGCGACACACACUACUAAUGCUUGAUUUUCGUGCUGUGAUCAGUGACACAAAUCAGUGUGUUGAGUGUAUAAACGGCUGUGAACUCUAUAAUGAACUCUUUCUCCAUUGCAGCUUGGAGAUUUCAGCUCGUGAGUCACGGGUAGCUUGAGAUAAUAAGCCCUUCACAAACAGGAAGAACUUCAAAGAUCUUUCAAAAUAAAAGUCCCCCUGAAACUAGAGCUCUAUUCAACUCUGGAUUUGUGAAAUUGAAGACAUUACGACAGAAACAUAUUACUACUGUAUAAAAGUGUAAUAUUCAAAGCUGUCUCAGUAAUACUCAUAGUAAAAAGAAUAUCAUAUUAAAUGGUUAUAUUAUUAGAUUAUUAUCUGUAAGCAAUAUCACAUAAGCAAGUGUACUGAAUAUCAGCAUGCUUUUGCCUCAGGUAAUCAGAUAGUUUUCAUGUAAUGUUUUCAUUAAUACUGUAAAGCUCUGUUGUGCAUCUUUUUUCUUAUAUAUAUAUAUAUAUAUAUAUAUAAAAUAUAUACAUAUUGUGUAUAUAUUGUUGAAAAGUAUUAUAUUUUCAUUUGAUUAAAGCUGUACAGUAUGUAUUUGAUUAAACACAACUUGAUCAUAACAUUUAAUUAAAAUAUUUAACAUGGAAUCCAGAAAAAUUUAAAAAGAAAAGGCAUAAUUCGUAUCUAUAAGACUUUAUGCAGUUCGUUUAGACAAGUAAUUUUCUGUGUAAUUUCAUCAAAAAUCUGAGGUUUUUUAAUUUGUUGCCAAAGCAGCGAGUUAGUAUUGAUACUGAGGUACCAGGGCUGGUAUUAUACCGAAGCCAGCAUUUUGAUAUCGGAGCAACCCUAGAGUGUACACAACUUAAUCAUUCAUUAAAAAAAAAAAAAAAAAAAAAAGAAAGAAAAUUGUUUUGAUAUUUUUCAAACAUUUUUAAUUUUUUUUACAAAUAUCAUGAAUUUUUGAGUCACAAUGUUUUCUUGGUGUUAUUCCAUUUGACCUGAACAAAAUGUGCCUUUUCAUAAAAAUGUCAAAAUAUCAGAUAAAAAAAAAAAAUUGUAAUAAAAAAAACUUUAUAGAAUCAUAAGGAUCUAAAAGUGUAAUUUCUGUUUUCUUUUUUUAUCUUUAUUGAUUUAUUUUUGUCACAUGCCAACAGAAUGCCUGUUGGUUACACCAACUGACUUUGAUUAUGUGGACAGAAGUGU